GCUCGCGAGCUGUAUUGUUCUUCCAUUUCCGCACGCCGCGCGCUGGACCGCUGCUCUUUAUAUCCGUGCUGCUGCUGCGCGUUUCUCCGCAGACCGCGUCGUAGUCUCUUCACCUCAACCGAAUACACCCGGCUCUCCAGGAGAAAACAAACAAACCACAGCGAGGAUUUGCGGUAGUUUCACCGCCGGAUUUUACAGUUUUGCUCCGCGCUUGAGGUUUUUAUCUCGCUUUGUUUGUAAACUUUAUUUACGAACUCCCCCAAAAUGGAGAACGAGAACAAGUACCUCCCGCAGCUCCUGGCGGAAAGAGACAGCCUGGACUCGUCCUUCAUGCACGCCAUGAAACUUUUAUCUGCAGAAAUCGAGAGGGUUCAGAAAGAUGAGCCGGAAAAAGACAACGAAACCUACUUGGAUCUCUUCACGGCGAAGAAUAUCAAACUGAAGGAAAGAGUUCUCAUUCCAGUCAAACAGUACCCAAAGUUUAACUUUGUUGGGAAGAUUCUCGGGCCUCAAGGGAACACCAUUAAGAGACUGCAGGAGGAGACGGGCGCCAAGAUCUCAGUACUGGGCAAGGGAUCUAUGAGAGACAAAGCAAAGGAGGAGAGCUUGAGGAAGAGCGGCGAGCCCAAAUACGCCCACCUGUCUAUGGAACUCCACGUGUUUAUCGAAGUGUUUGCUCCAGCGCCCGAAGCGUACAUGCGCAUGGCCCAUGCUAUGGAGGAGGUUAAGAAGUUUCUCUUCCCUGACAUGAUGGAUGAAAUUUGCCAGGAGCAGUUCAUGGAGAUGGGAUAUCUGAACGGAAGCCACGAACACAGCGUCCGAGGCAGAGGAGGCCCGAUGGCCAGGGGGCGCGGAGGACCCCCGCCACCCAGGGGUCGAGGCAUGGCACCGAUGCGUGGCGGUGUUCCACGUGGUGGUCCAGCCAGAGGUGGUGCUGUGAGAGGAGCCCCAGCAGGGCGCGGAGGACCACCGGCUCAGCCUGGCAGAGGCGCCGUUGCCAACCGAGCCCGCGCUCCUGCCCCUGGGUCACAGAGGAUGCCUCCUCCACCGCGCCCUCCUGCCCAGGAGUCUUAUGAAGACUAUUCCUAUGACGAAAGUUACACAGAAUCGGGCUACGAAUCCUACGACAACUAUUACAGUCAGCCGCAGGCAGAGCCAGAGUAUUAUGACUAUGGACACGGAGAGACGCAGGAAGGAUAUGAGAAUUAUGCUCAAGAUGACUGGAAUGGAACGCAGCGUGCUUCUGCCAGUGGGAAAGCUGCCGCUCAGAGACAAACGAAGGGAGCGUACAGAGAACACCCGUAUGGGCGAUACUGAACUCUGAACAAGCACAACGUCAUCACCCAUAAUGUUCCAUCAUGACGACUGUCUCCCACGGCAGCUCGCUCUUUAAGCAGCCUGACAAAAGGAACUGUUCCUCAUGAGAUCCAGGGAUGGAAUCGGGGUUUGCAGCUUUUUUCUCAGGGAAGACCGAUUUGCCGUAAAGAGGCGGCCUUAAAUUUCAGCCAGUGGGCUUUUUGAGGAAAAAACUCUGAAAUCUGCAGAGACGGAGUCGUACUGAAGUUCUGCCGGACGCCUUCCAAGAAGCCGGAGUGCUAGGAAAGUGCAUCCGUGCGUCUUAAAAAGGAAAUCAAUGCUCUCCUCGGCGCUGCUGCCAAAGCAAGCGGGCACUUAUUGAGCUGGAGCGGAAAACGGCUUACGUGUCCUACAGCGUCCAGCGGUCGUGUUUGUGUGCGCGUAUGUGGUCACAUAUUGGAAAUGCGUCUGGCUCGUUGUCUUUGAAGCUUCCAGCCUUAUAUAUUUUUUUGUAGCUUUCUCUAAAGCACACUUAAAGCUGUCCUGAAAAUGACCAGUGUCAUUUUUGUCAUGUUUUCAUCACCCUCAUCGUCUCUCAUUUAAUAUCAGUUUAUUUUCUUUUCUCUUGUGCCUGGACAGCAACCCAGUUAGAGCAAGUAAAUGUGCGUGUUGGUGUGUUCAAGUCACUUAUUUGAGUUGAACACAUACGAAUGCCACCAUUAAGUUGUAACUACAAGUGGGGAAACUGGAUUUUCUUAGAGCUGUGAGUUGGGGGUGUGUCAGUAAGAAAACAUGUGGAAUAAAUGGAUGCAACGUCUGUAGCUGACGGUAAAUUUGUUUAAAUUGAAUAUUUACUCCUCAGUAGCUGAUUGUUAUCGUCAGCCCUUUUUUUUGAGCUGCAAUAAAACAAGCUAAUUGCCUGCACAAAAUACAAUAGCAUUGUACAAUUCCGAUAUAAUGUAACGAAAAAGUUUGGCGGCUUCGAAAAUUGAUUAAAAACAUAAAAAGCAGAACGCCCGAUGUGCGUUGUGGUGUUCAUCUUCUUGAAGUAGAGUUAAAAACCUUGCUCCGAGGUUGCUCCGCCAUCUCGCGUCGACCAAAGCGACUUGAACGCACCCGAUGUCAUGAUUGCGACUUCCCAACUCGUAUGUACGAGCUUCUGAGGAAGACUUGAACGCACGGUGUGUGUGUAUAUACCCAGUCUUCACAUUUACUUACACAAUACUUACUGGACCCUCCUGCAACUUGCACAUUGCUGUAUAUUACAAUUUUUACUUUAAUGCAUAAAUACAAACAUGAAAACCAACCAAUGCGUUCACUUCAGAUCAGUUGUGCUUGUAUGAAAAUAAAUGCAGUUGUCAUGGCAAUAACCAAAUCGCAGGAAAACUAGAGUCUACCUGUAUUUUCUGAAUUAUAAGACUCAUCUUUGGUGCUACACCCUUUCAGUGUACAUGGUGGGUGUGUGUUUAAGGGUAGUGUGCACAUGUGAACCAGUGCUGCUUAUCAUUUGUAAAAUAAAGUGAUUUAAGGUAAUUUGUCUUGUUCUACACCAAAGAUAUCUUAAAUGGGUGUGUGGAUGUUAAGUUUUCUCUGGGGUUUUUUUUCCUUCAGUUUCUAGCAUCAUUAUGGGGAACUGUAGUAGAAAAUUGGCACAUUAGUAUUUGUGUAGAAUUUGGAAGUCGUGUUUGUAUUGUUGGACAGCGUUUUAACUAAAAUAGACCCUCAGCAGGCGAGACUCCGUUCAGCAUCAGACACCUUUUCAGUCCCUCACCGGGUUCUCGGCUCGGAUAGAAACACGAUUAGGCUUUUGUGAAGUAUGCACUGCAGAGGUAAUGAUUUGUGUUUUUUAAAUGUUCAGUAUUGUUCUGUUGCAAUCUUGAACGAUAAAAUACAUCGUAUUACAGAUUACGAUCACAUGGCUGCUUCAGUGCGACUAAUACAAGUAGGUCUUAAUUUCCAUGCCGCAGUGCCACCAGGGCCUGUUGCUCCACCGAGCCAUAAUGAUCCCUUCGCUUUUUGAGGAAAGGAGUGUGUUUCGAAUACACGGCAGUGUGCACCGGCGUGUCAAGCCGAGAAUUGGGCUUUGGAGCUGAAAUGCCUUACCCUGGGCAUUAUUGUGUGUGUGUGUGUGUGUGUGUGUGUGUGUGUGUGUGUGUGUGUGUGUGUGUGUGUGUGUGUGUGUGUGUGUGUGUGUGUGUGUGUGUGUGUGUGUGUGUGUGUGUGUGUGUGUGUGUGUGUGUGUGUGUGUGUGUGUGUGUGUGUGUGUGUGUGUGUGAGAGCAUUCAAGCAGAUUUUCAGCACUAAAUUUUUGAGACCGUAUUCGGGGCAGAUGGAAAAAGCAUGCUAGCUUGCAUGAUGACUAAGCAGAGGUUCUUAAAAAUAAAGCCUCAGUUCAAACCCAGUUAAUAACGGAGAGGGCUAAAACCAGUGUGCGCUUUAGGACAGAUCUGUUUACACUCAUCCGCUGCUUGAAUAGAAACAUAUUUUGAAAGCUAACCAAAACGGGGCGGUUGAAGUUUGGAAAAAGACCCAGAGAGGUUUUUCUGAGAGUCUGCCCACUGUAGCCUCAGAUUCAUGUUGUUUUCUGGCAGAAGUUUGAACUCCAGGUUCGACGUGUUUAGAUGCGGUUUUUUUUUCUUUCUUUUCUUUUCUUUUCUCAUUACUCCAGCCUUCCCAUCAGCUUAAACCAGCCUGGUCAUUCUCCUCUGAUCUCUCUCAUCAACAAUGUGUUUCUGCCCACAGAACUGCUGCUUCCUGGAUGUUUUUUUUUGUUUGUUUGUUUGUGUUUUUUGCACCAUUCUAUGUAAACUCUUGGGUGUAGACUGUUGGGUAUGAAAAAUCCCAGGAGAUAAAUAGUUUCUGAAAAACUCAAACCAGCCUGUCUGGCGCCAGCAAUCAUGCCACAGUCACAAGUCAGAGACUUCUGCAUUCUGAUGAUUUGAUGUGAAUAUGAACUAAAGCUGUUGAUCUGUAUUAUCCAUUGUGCUGCUGCCACGUGAUUGGCUGAUUGCAUGACUGUCCAGGUGUUCCUAUUAAAGUGGCCAGAGUGUGUACUCGUUUUCCAAAUAUAAGACAAAUGCCAUAGUUUUAUACAUUUGGAGACACAAUUUUGUAGAAUUGUUAGUCUUUGUUUUGUCUUAAAAAAACCCCCCAAAACAACAACAAAAAAACCUGUCCUUCAGAGAUCCCAGAUGGUUCUUUGCUGUAGUGUUUUUCCUGAGUGUUACUGUAGUGUUUCUUGCUCUUAAUCCCUCAAAACCUGUACAUCCUUAUGAAAUGAUAUAUAUGUAUGUGUAAUGAGAGAAAUCCAAAUGUACAUCACUUUAUUAGUAGCUUUCGGCACCGUAUUGAUAACGCGGACUUCCAGAGUCCAUCCAGUGCCUCAGGAGGCCGGUGCUCGGAGUACAGGCAGUGACUGAAAAAAGAGUGCCACAAGCAUACCGUACCAUGGGGUGCUUUUUGGCAGGAAAGCCUGCAGGCAAAGCAUGUUUUGCUCGUACUCACCAUUAAGGUUUUUUAUUUUAUUUAUUUUUUUUGGAAGACUAUCUCCAGUGCUUUCAUUAGAGAUCAUGUAUAGUUCUGCAACACCAGUCUCAAGCCAACAGUUGAGGGGGAAAAAAAAAAAGGCACUUCUCGUGCCUACUGAAAAACACUAACACAUGGGAUCUGUCGCAAUGGCCGCGUUAAUAGGAACACAUGUACAUCUGCUCAUUCAUGCAAUUAGCCAAUCAUAUGGUAGCAGCACUUUUUUCAUUAUUUAUUUAUUUAUUUAUUUAUUUAUUUAUUGGAAAUCAUGCAGCUUCAGUUAAUGUUCAGAAUUGCGAAGAAUAUGACUUCAACUAUGAUUUUGAUCUGAGGUGGCUCAACAGUUAAGGCUCUGGGUUACUGAUCAGAAGGUCGGGGGUUUAAGCCCCAGCACCUCCAAGCUGCCGCUGUUGGGCUCUGGAGCAAGGCCAUUAACCCUAUCUACUAAAAGAAUUUCACUCUGCUGUAAUGUAUAUUUGACAGUCUCCUCCUCCUCCUGAGGCUAUCUGAUCUGUUGUAGCCCUUCCACAUCAAGGUUUGGUGGUGCUUUUCUGCGCACCACAGUUGUAGAGUGGUUAUUUGAUUUACUGUAGCCUUCCUAUCCUUCCAGUAAUGGAACCCAAUGUAGUUUUCUGCUGAUGUUGUCCGUCCACCUCCAGGUUUGAUGUGUUGAUGCUUUUCUACUCGCCGCACUUGUAAAAAAAAAAAAAAAAGAAAAAAAAAAAGUGUUUUUUUGAGUCUCUUUACUGUUCCCAUCAGCUCAAACCGGAUCUUUCUCAUCAACAAGGCAAUUCUGCCCGCAUACCUGCUGCUCACUGGAUGUGUUUUGU